GCCCGCUCAAGAAACUUAAAGGAAUUGACGGGGCCCGCACAAGCGGUGGAGUAUGUGGUUUAAUUCGAUGCAACGCGAAGAACCUUACCUGGUCUUGACAUCCCGGAGACCCUUAGGAAACUAGGGGGUGCUUCCAUCUGGAAGAAUCUGGAGACAGGUGCUGCAUGGCUGUCGUCAGCUCGUGUCGUGAGAUGUUGGGUUAAGUCCCGCAACGAGCGCAACCCUUGCCUUUAGUUGCCAGCAGUUCGGCUGGGCACUCUAAAGGGACUGCCGGUGUUAAACCGGAGGAAGGUGGGGAUGACGUCAAGUCCUCAUGGUCUUUAUGACCAGGGCUACACACGUACUACAAUGGCCGAUACAAAGGGCAGCGACACUGCGAGGUGAAGCCAAUCCCGUAAAAUCGGUCUCAGUCCGGAUUGGAGUCUGCAACUCGACUCCAUGAAGUUGGAAUCGCUAGUAAUCGUGGAUCAGCAUGCCACGGUGAAUACGUUCCCGGGCCUU
rnacentral:rRNA from 1 species